UAAAUUUGGUCCUUCACCGUCACGUGUGUAUUGUAUGUAUUUCUGCCAAAUCCGCCAAUAGCAAUUUCCAAUUUACCCUAUUGUUCGAGUCACGGAUAGGUAACUUUCUUAAGACAUUGCUAUUGGUUAGUUGGGCAAAAAUACAAUACGCACGUGACGGUGAACGACCAAAUUUAUGAAUAAACGUUGACUAACAUAGAUAAUGAGUUAUAUUGUUAUUCUAAUGAGUUUCCAAACCAUCUAUUCUAUUAACUAUGAUCAAAACGAAUUUUUUGACACUUGAAGCGAGGGAUAUUGGAGAGCGACAAAACUUAAAUACUUAUUAUAACUUGAGUUAUAUUUAUAGCACCGAAAGUUAACUCAUUUGUUUAAUUAAGUGCAUUCAACUUAGCCGAGUAAGUGUGCUUCAAUACUAAAAUUCUGGCAAAUUUUACAGGGAAAGUUUUGUCUGAAUGAAGAUUUAAUUCAUUUGAAAGGGUUCUAUUUUAAGGGCAGAAUGUCUUCCUACCGCUUGUUCCGGACAACCUGAAACUUAGCGGAUUACAGGCUAGGCUUGGGUAAA